UCAAAUUAAAGCUUUAUAAGCAUUUUAGUUACAUUAAAAAGUUAAUUGUUAAAUCAAUUUAAUUUGAA
rnacentral:tRNA from 1 species